UACGUAGGGCGCAAGCGUUGUCCGGAAUUAUUGGGCGUAAAGAGCUCGUAGGCGGCUUGUUACGUCGGAUGUGAAAGCCCGAGGCUUAACCUCGGGUCUGCAUUCGAUACGGGCUAGCUAGAGUGUGGUAGGGGAGAUCGGAAUUCCUGGUGUAGCGGUGAAAUGCGCAGAUAUCAGGAGGAACACCGGUGGCGAAGGCGGAUCUCUGGGCCAUUACUGACGCUGAGGAGCGAAAACGUGGGGAGCGAACAGG
rnacentral:rRNA from 1 species